AGUGAACGCUGGCGGUAGGCCUAACACAUGCAAGUCGAACGGCAGCACAGUAAGAGCUUGCUCUUACGGGUGGCGAGUGGCGGACGGGUGAGGAAUACAUCGGAAUCUACUUUUUCGUGGGGGAUAACGUAGGGAAACUUACGCUAAUACCGCAUACGACCUACGGGUGAAAGCAGGGGAUCUUCGCACCUUGCGCGAUUGAUUGAGCCGAUGUCGGAUUAGCUAGUUGGCGGGGUCAAGGACCACCAAGGCGACGACCCGUAGCUGGUCUGAGAGGAUGAUCAGCCACACUUGAACUGAGACACGGUCCAGACUCCUACGGGAGGCAGCAGUUGGGAAUAUUGGCCAGUGGGCGCAAGCCUGAUCCACCCAUACCGCGUCGGCGAAUAAGGCCUUCGGGUUGUAAAGCCCUUUUGUUGGGAAAGAAAAGCAGCAGGUUAAUACCCCGCUGUUCUGACGGUACCCAAAGAAUAAGCACCGGCUAACUUCGUG
rnacentral:rRNA from 1 species